rnacentral:rRNA from 1 species
CCAAACUGUUGCCUCGGCGGGAUCUCUGCCCCGGGUGCGCGCAGCCCCGGACCAAGGCGCCCGCCGGAGGACCAACCAAAACUCUUAUUGUAUACCCCCUCGCGGGUUUUUUUAUAAUCUGAGCCUUCUCGGCGCCUCUCGUAGGCGUUUCGAAAAUGAAUCAAAACUUUCAACAACGGAUCUCUUGGUUCUGGCAUCGAUGAAGAACGCAGCGAAAUGCGAUAAGUAAUGUGAAUUGCAGAAUUCAGUGAAUCAUCGAAUCUUUGAACGCACAUUGCGCCCGCCAGUAUUCUGGCGGGCAUGCCUGUCCGAGCGUCAUUUCAACCCUCGAACCCCUCCGGGGGGUCGGCGUUGGGGAUCGGCCCUCCCUUAGCGGGGUGGCCGUCUCCGAAAUACAGUGGCGGUCUCGCCGCAGCCUCUCCUGCGCAGUAGUUUGCACACUCGCAUCGGGAGCGCGGCGCGUCCACAGCCGUUAAACACCCAACUUCUGAAAUGUUGACCUCGGAUCAGGUAGGAAUACCCGCUGAACUUAAGCAUAUCAAUAAGCGGAGGAA